CUCCAAAUCUACCGUCUCUACGUUCUACACUUAGAGACGGUAGACGAAGGCAACGGGGGCUCCGUGUACAGAAAGAAAAAGAAGAACAAAUCCAGCGACAAGAAGGAGAAGGACAAAAAAGAUAAACACAAAAAACACAAAACGAAGAAACAUAAAAAGAAGCAUGAAAUCGGAGAGACUUCGAUAUCAGUCAUCAGUGACGGCAAGAAACACGACAGAGUCGAUGGUGGAAGAAUCAGGGCGAUCAUUCUUACCAACUCGGACGAAAUCAGAGAGCUGGAGCUAUCUACACUGUUCAAAGACCAGAUAACCAUCGAAAAUGAGAGGAA